rnacentral:rRNA from 1 species
UUUGACGUUAGCGACAGAAGAAGCACCGGCUAACUCCGUGCCAGCAGCCGCGGUAAUACGGAGGGUGCGAGCGUUAAUCGGAAUUACUGGGCGUAAAGCGCAUGCAGGUGGUUUGUUAAGUCAGAUGUGAAAGCCCGGGGCUCAACCUCGGAAUUGCAUUUGAAACUGGCAGACUAGAGUACUGUAGAGGGGGGUAGAAUUUCAGGUGUAGCGGUGAAAUGCGUAGAGAUCUGAAGGAAUACCGGUGGCGAAGGCGGCCCCCUGGACAGAUACUGACACUCAGAUGCGAAAGCGUGGGGAGCAAACAGGAUUAGAUACCCUGGUAGUCCACGCCGUAAACGAUGUCUACUUGGAGGUUGUGGCCUUGAGCCGUGGCUUUCGGAGCUAACGCGUUAAGUAGACCGCCUGGGGAGUACGGUCGCAAGAUUAAAACUCAAAUGAAUUGACGGGGGCCCGCACAAGCGGUGGAGCAUGUGGUUUAAUUCGAUGCAACGCGAAGAACCUUACCUACUCUUGACAUCCAGAGAACUUUCCAGAGAUGGAUUGGUGCCUUCGGGAACUCUGAGACAGGUGCUGCAUGGCUGUCGUCAGCUCGUGUUGUGAAAUGUUGGGUUAAGUCCCGCAACGAGCGCAACCCUUAUCCUUGUUUGCCAGCGAGUAAUGUCGGGAACUCCAGGGAGACUGCCGGUGAUAAACCGGAGGAAGGUGGGGACGACGUCAAGUCAUCAUGGCCCUUACGAGUAGGGCUACACACGUGCUACAAUGGCGCAUACAGAGGGCRGCCAACUUGCGAAAGUGAGCGAAUCCCAAAAAGUGCGUCGUAGUCCGGAUUGGAGUCUGCAACUCGACUCCAUGAAGUCGGAAUCGCUAGUAAUCGUGGAUCAGAAUGCCACGGUGAAUACGUUCCCGGGCCUUGUACACACCGCCCGUCACACCAUGGGAGUGGGCUGCAAAAGAAGUAGGUAGUUUAACCUUCGGGGGGACGCUUACCACUUUGUGGUUCAUGACUGGGGUGAAGUCGUAACAAGGUAGCGCUAGGGGAACCUGGCGCUGGAUCACCUCCUUAAACGAUGAU